rnacentral:lncRNA from 1 species
GGGCAUUAUGUUUUCUGGUCUGUGCGUCCGUUCGUCCGUCCGUCCGUCUGUUCGUUCGUUCGUCCGUUCGUCCGUUCGUCCGUCUGUCCCGCUUCAGGUUAAAGUUUUUGGUCGAGGUAGUUUUUGAUGAAGUUGAAGUCUAAUCAACUUGAAACUUAGUAUAUAUGUUCUGUAUGAUAUGAUCUUUCUAAUUUUAAUUCCAAAUUAGAGAUUUAACCCCAUGUUCACGGUCCACUGAACAUAGAAAAUGAUAGUGCGGAUGGGGCAUCCGUGUACUGGGGACACAUUCUUGUUUUGAAUACUAUUAA